UGCCAGACUCCUACGGGAGGCAGCAGUGAGGAAUAUUGGUCAAUGGGCGCGAGCCUGAACCAGCCAAGUAGCGUGAGGGAAGACUGCCCUAUGGGUUGUAAACCUCUUUUAUGCGGGGAUAAAGGUGUCCACGUGUGGAUGUUUGCAGGUACCGCAUGAAUAAGGACCGGCUAAUUCCGUGCCAGCAGCCGCGGUAAUACGGAAGGUCCGGGCGUUAUCCGGAUUUAUUGGGUUUAAAGGGAGCGUAGAUGGGUUGUUAAGUCAGUUGUGAAAGUGUGCGGCUCAACCGUAAAAUUGCAAUUGAUACUGGCAGUCUUGAGUACAGUUGAGGUAGGCGGAAUUCGUGGUGUAGCGGUGAAAUGCUUAGAUAUCACGAAGAACUCCGAUUGCGAAGGCAGCUUACUAAACUGCCACUGACAUUGAUGCUCGAAAGUGUGGGUAUCAAACAGGAUUAGAUACCCGUGA
rnacentral:rRNA from 1 species